GGCAUUCAUGGAAAAGAAACAAAUGGAUUUCACCUUUACCUUCAAAAAGAGACGAUUCCAUUGUCUGCUCAAAUGAGCAACAUCAGCCUGACUCUAAAUUUAAUCCUGGAAAACAUCUAUGUGAUGAAAGAAAAAUCAAAUUAAAUCAACUUUACCUAAAAAAUGUAAAAUAUAUCUGGACGGCCCCACUGCCUCUGAAAAGGAAUUUAACUGCAGAGAGUAAUAAAUACUUGCCAACAGCCUACCAUUGGAGAGCACAUCAGAGGUAACUUGGGCCCAGAUGCUACUAAUCAAUUCCAGCCAAGUUUUACACGAAUCUACUCAUGAUUUCAGAAAACCAAGCCAUCCAGAAACGCCUACAAAUACAUCAGAGUUGGCAAACCCAAGCAUGAGUCCAACCCCUGGACGCACAGCAGCCUCAGGUUCAAAGCCGAAGCACUAAGGGGCUCAUCCUGACAGAUGCGGGUUGAGCUCACAGCAUAUGGUUCACAUCACUGCCCCUCUGAUGAGAGCAUCCAGGUUUGGAUCACAUCUGUUUCAUUGGAAUGAGGACUUCCACUGCCAUUAUUGUAUUCUGAAUGACCUCACUG
rnacentral:lncRNA from 1 species